rnacentral:rRNA from 1 species
AGCAGUCGCCACGGUAAUACGUAGGUGGCGAGCGUUGUUCAGAAUCAUUGGGCGUAAAGGGAGCGCAGGCGGGCAUGUAAGUCUUUCUUAAAAGUUCGGGGCUCAACCCCGUGAUGGGGAAGAAACUACAAGUCUUGAGUACAGGAGAGGAAAGCGGAAUUCCCAGUGUAGCGGUGAAAUGCGUAGAUAUUGGGAGGAACACCAGUGGCGAAGGCGGCUUUCUGGACUGCAACUGACGCUGAGGCUCGAAAGCCAGGGGAGCGAACGGGAUUAGAUACCCCCGUAGUCCCUGUCUCUUAUACA